rnacentral:ncRNA from 1 species
CCGCAUCAUCAAGAGAAGGGCUGGCGCCCUCGCCAACCUGCCCGGCCGGGCAAGGUGGUCCCCGCAAAGGGAUGUGGCCAUGGGGAAACCCAGGGCAACCAAGCGGUCAGAA